UAAAUGUAAAUGUUGAUGGUUAGGUUAGGUGAACACUGUAAUAAAUGCGAUGGUUAGGUUAUGGUUGUGUUAGGAUAAUAAAGUGUAGUUAUGGAUUGAUACAUAUCAAUGGUCUUGUGUGUUAAUUGCGGUAGAUAUAUGUCCUCUCGAACUGGUUGUGAUCAAUGCUUCUCUUCCUCCAUUUAAACUCUGUCCUUGGCCUCUCUCUUGAGUCUCAUCUCUUCUUUCUCAUCUUCGCAUCUCUCUUGAGUCUUAUCUC
rnacentral:lncRNA from 1 species